ACGGGAGGCAGCAGUGGGGAAUAUUGGGCCAUGGGCGAAAGCCUGACCCAGCAACGCCGCGUGAAGGAAGACGGUCUUCGGAUUGUAAACUUCUUUUAUGUAGGACGAAGGAAGUGACGGUACUACAUGAAUAAGCCACGGCUAACUACGUGCCAGCAGCCGCGGUAAUACGUAGGUGGCAAGCGUUAUCCGGAUUUACUGGGUGUAAAGGGCGCGUAGGCGGGGAUGCAAGUCAGAUGUGAAAUCCAUGGGCUCAACUCAUGAACUGCAUUUGAAGAUGUAGCUCUUGAGUGCUGGAGAGGUAGAUGGAAUUCCUAGUGUAGCGGUGAAAUGCGUAGAUAUUAGGAAGAACACCAGGGGCGAAGGCGAUCUACUGGACAGUAACUGACGCUGAGGCGCGAAAGCGUGGGGAGCAAACAGGAUGAGAUACCCUGGUA
rnacentral:rRNA from 1 species